GCGCGGUUGUGAAAUUAUUCCGUCGCGUCGCCUGCACUAACUAACGAAGAGGAAAGGAAGGAGAGAAGGGAUGAUAGCGUGAGAAUGAAAGAGAGAUAACUGAUGAAUAAGGGAAGGAUUGGGUCAGAAGAAAGAGCUAUAGAGAAGAGAGAAUUGAAGAGUGAAAGGAGAGGAAAGGAAGACUGUAUGAGUUGAUUUAUAAGAAGACGCAGAAACCCAAAGGAGGAACGUAAAGAAAGUAUAGGAAAGAAGGGAAAGUGCACUGGGGGAAAGGGUUUAUAGUGUGAUAUAAGAAGGGAAACUGUAGAGAUAGGAUAGUGAAAGGGACAGAAGGUAAUGGGAAAGAAAAUAUAUAUGUUGAAAGAAGACAGGGAGAGAAGGUGAAGGAAAGGACAGAGGGAGGGAAGGAGAAGUCAUGGAAGAAGUGAUGGGAGGAAGAGAGGGGAUGAAAACUACACGAAAGAAAGGAAUGCUUGAGAGAAGAGAGACAAGACGUAGAACAGUUGACAGAAGAAUAGGAAAAAGAUGUAGACAAAAUGAGAGAGAGAUAGAGGAAAAAGGAGAGGAAUGGAUAAUGUGAGGAGUGAAGUUGGAGUGAUACAAUAAAAGAAAGAAAAUAUGAAGGAAAAUAGAAAAUAUAAUAGAGGAAUAAAAUGAAAAAGAAGAAAGUGAUAGGCAAGGGGUGGAGAAUGGAAACAAAAGGGAGUUAGGAAGGAAAAGGGGAGGUGGAGUGGUAGGCAGGAAAGGAACUCAAAGAAGCACUAAAUAAUGCAACAACAGACGAAAGAAAGGGAAGAGGAGGCAGGAAAGGAGGAACAAAGAUGGCAGCGGAGGAAAGUAAAGGUCGAAACAAAAGCAGGAGAAGCAGAGGAAAAUAAAGGUCGAAACAAAAGCAGGAGAAGCAGAGGAAAAUAAAGGUCGAAACAAAAGCAGGAGAAGCAGAGGAAAAUAAAGGUCGAAACAAAAGCAGGAGAAGCAGAGAAAAGUAAAGGUCGAAACAAAAGCAGGAGAAGCAGAGAAAAGUAAAGGUCGAAACAAAAGCAGGAGAAGCAGAGAAAAGUAAAGGUCGAAACAAAAGCAGGAGAAGCAGAGAAAAGUAAAGGUCGAAACAAAAGCAGGAGAAGCAGAGGAAAGUAAAGGUCGAAACAAAAGCAGGAGAAGCAGAGGAAAGUAAAGGUCGAAACAAAAGCAGGAGAAGCAGAGGAAAGUAAAGGUCGAAACAAAAGCAGGAGAAGCAGAGGAAAGUAAAGGUCGAAACAAAAGCAGGAGAAGCAGAGGAAAGUAAAGGUCGAAACAAAAGCAGGAGAAGCAGAGGAAAGUAAAGGUCGAAACAAAAGCAGGAGAAGCAGAGGAAAGUAAAGGUCGAAACAAAAGCAGGAGAAGCAGAGGAAAGUAAAGGUCGAAACAAAAGCAGGAGAAGCAGAGGAAAGUAAAGGUCGAAACAAAAGCAGGAAGAAGACGAAAUAGAAAAGGAGAUGGCAUAGCAAGGAAAGGAAACAGGGAGAGAGAAGGGAAAAGGAAGAAUGAU